rnacentral:rRNA from 1 species
AUUGAACGCUGGCGGCAUGCCUUACACAUGCAAGUCGAACGGCAGCACGGGAGCAAUCCUGGUGGCGAGUGGCGAACGGGUGAGUAAUAUAUCGGAACGUGCCCAGUCCGUGGGGGAUAACGUAGCGAAAGCUACGCUAAUACCGCAUACGAUCUAUGGAUGAAAGCGGGGGAUCGCAAGACCUCGCGCGAUUGGAGCGGCCGAUAUCAGAAUUAGGUAGUUGGUGAGGUAAAGGCUCACCAAGCCGACGAUCUGUAGCUGGUCUGAGAGGACGACCAGCCACACUGGGACUGAGACACGGCCCAGACUCCUACGGAGGCAGCAGUGGGGAAUUUUGGUACAAUGGCGCAAGCCUGAUCCAGCAAUGCCGCGUGCAGGAU